CACACAGACGUUGUUCCAGAGCUUUAUUUGAUAGAAAAUUGCAGUACAUUCAGCGUUGUCGUUUUUCUUAAUGACAGUAAAGGGUUAGCCGACUGUGUUUGUGAGAUGGCGGUAGCGGCCAUUUUGUGUUAUACAUUGCCUGAGUGUGGGAGACUGGAUUGGUUUGAAUGCUUAUGAGUGAACAGAGAGAGUGCAUUUGUCCACUGCAGUGUACGUAGCUGUAGGUGAAAGCACAGUGCUGAUACUGCACGUCAGUGUAAUCAGUAUUCUGAAGGAAAGAUUGUGAAUGUUGAUGAUCUCUGGCCUAGUUAAAGCCCAAACUCUCUGCUCUGCAUGUUGAGAAAUCUGUGUAGAAUUAGCAUUAGCAAUUAGCUAAUUCUGAACAUUCUUUUCUUCUGCUUCAUUGUAUCCCUGUUUAUCCUGUAAUUGCAUUUAGGCUUGAUGGAGGAGUGUGAAUAAAUGCACAUGCUACAGUACACAUUACACAAGCUUCACGUUAGACGAGUAGCUUUGUUUUUCGGAGCGUCGUUAACGAACGUUUGAAUACAAACGCUAACCAGUGCAGCUAAUGCAAUAAGUAUUUAGAUGUGCCAGGCUAUGUUGAAGCUCAGGAUGUUAGUAGUUGGCUGGCAGUGUGUGAGCAGAAGCGUGUCCUCAGGUGACCCUUGCGCAAGGCACCAUGCAACAUAUGUGUGUAUUGGAAAUAUGCAAUUAAAUAUAUAUACGUAUAUUUUAUCUGCCCCCUAGAAAAUCGGGCUGCAGAUUGGUUAGGAGCUGUGGCGAGAUGUGACGUAGAGAGAACCCCUUCACCGACUGGGUCACUACUUGUCUCUCAAAAGCACACGCUGUUGUAGAACAUUAUGGUUCAACGCCAUUCCGGAAAGCAAGGUGAUCUGCAUGGGGCUUUAGCCGGUUCUCUUUUACUGUUCUGUUUGGUAGCAUGGGCUAAAUCCUCAGACGCUGCCCCCCAAGUAUGUGGCUGGGUUGAAUUGAGAGCCUGUGUGUGUGUGUAUAGUGUGUGAGGACAGACACGAAGCAGCCUUCCGAACCGAAGUCAGUCCAGAAGGGAUCGGGUGCGCCCCCACAGUCCUAUACACACAAAUACACAGCACAGCCAGCUACAGUAGCAGCCAUGUUAGAAUCCACUGAAACAGGGCAUUUACAGUCUGCAUCUAGUCGCUACAGGAAGAAAAGCAAAAGUAAGUUUCCCCCACCUUUUUCUUUAAAAUCUCUCCGAUUCAGGCUCAUCAGAUCUUGAUCACUGAGAUGAGAAAUGCACAUAAAAACACAUAUCACAGAAGUCCACUAAAGCGGGUAGAGAGUUUUACCGUCUGCUGUCUUUGCCCUUCUCUCUCUCCACUCCCAUUACUUUAGCAGGAGAGAGGGGGCAAUAGAACGAGAGCUAGCGAGAAGGGAGGGGGGAAAAAAAAGUUCGAGCACUGAGUCCAGCCGGGUUUUCUGGAGUGAGUGGCAUAUAAGGCAAGAAGUUUAGUUUUAGAAUUUUUUAAUUAUUUUUUGCAUUUUUCUGUUUGGGUCACAAUAGCGUUACAGUAAUCGACCCCAAGGAGAACCAACUGUCAGUCACAGUGAAAAGGAAGGAAGGUGGCGAGAGACACUGAGAAAAAGGGAGGGACAGAAAGAUAGCAUUGAAGGAGGAGAGCAAAGGAAACUUCGAUAAGGCAUGAAUAUGCAAGGCUUGUUCUGCGGCGCUCUAGAAAGGUGUGGUUCUAGUUCAGAUAUUUUUGGCGUUUUUUUGGCUUGCUCUCUCUAUCAUUGUAGCAGGGCGGGAUUUGAGUGGGUGGGGUGGAUGGAUGGAAGCGUAGGGGAUUAAGUGAGGGGAAAAAAGAGAGAGGGCACGUGAGGGAAGCAGUGUGGAAGAGGAGGAGCCUAGCUUUUCUGAUGCAGUUUCAUUGGCUGGGAGUAUGAAUUUGGGCAAUGCUAAAAUUCACAGGAUAUGUUUGAAUGUUUUGCAGCUACUCUAAAAAGGACCAAAGAGACCCAUUUACUUGGAAGUAGUCGCAGCAGAACAAAGUGCAAAGUGCCAGAACAAAGUUCUUGUACUAGCGGUGUUUAACUACAGGUUUGUGCACAGGCAGAUAGUUACUGGUUUUCUUUCAAAUAUGUAGCUCUCUAUCUCGUUCUGUCUCUGUGUUUGGUGGGAUUAUGCCUGCACGGAGCUCCAGAAUGGCGUGAGAGUGCAUACAGAGUCUGCGCGCUGGGGGAGGAGUGGAUUGUAUGUCACACUCACUCCCUCGCUCCCUCCCUCUUUCUCUAUCUCUUUACUCCUCCCGCCCUGGAUUUGCUGCUUUUCCACCCUCCCACUCUCUCUCUCUCUCAAGUGCAAGACCAUGUGGGACGUAUGAUGAGAAAGAGGCUCACCACACCGAGUCUCAUAUUUCAACAUUAGUCAGCCUCUCUCUCUCUCUUUCGCUCACUCGCUUUCUCCUGCUCUCUCUCGCUCUGUUUCCUCACAUGCUCCCCUCAUUUCCUCCACUUACUCCUCUCUUUAAGCUGUUCGCAAGGGGGAGACUGGCUGAAGCUCAGCAGAGAAAGCGAGGCAGGGAGGAAAAGGGAGGGAGGGGAAAAAAAGAGGCAGGAAAAAAGAAAAAAAAAACGUCGGCUGCUUUUUCUGCUGCUGCGAGGGCCUCCCCACCGGCGGGCCCAGCCAGAGAGGGAGGGCUUCUAGCUCUCCUAAGAGGAUUUAACCCUCUGUCUGCAGCAGCGCGCUGCACUGCAGCCCACCCAAAACCCUGCCAACAAGUCACGCUUUCCAGCGCAUUGCUUCGCUUUUUCAUGCCCUAGCAUUUGCACGUUGGACAUUUUUGUUUUUGUUUUGUUUUGGACUUUAUCGGUUGAAUUUUUUAGCGCCGAUUGUCCGUUGUAGUUUUCUGAGAGCGAAUUCGAACUCUGCGGCUCACAGAGGGGAUCUUUUUUUGGAUGUAGACCUUCUGUAGGUAGGUUUUUUAUCUGGCUGGUUGGCGGGCACUUCCAUGCUUUGACCCAGGGUGGGCCUCCCCACACCGAUUUAAGCUCGGCCAUGGCACUCCUGGAGAAGCUAGAAUUGAGCUGCUUUUGUUUCUCUGUGUCAAGGAUAACGUUGCCUCAGCCUGCCAAAUAGUGCCAGGUACAUGUUUUUGGAAGUACUGCCCCACUGCUGCCCUCCUCUUUCCCUCUCUUUCGUUCCCUCUCUCUUUUCUCAAUCCCAUCAAGGCUAGUGGCGUGCAGGAGCUCUGUCUGGGACAGGUGCCAAUUGCUCACAAAAGGCAGAAAAAAAAUGGGCCACGGGACGGAAAGUGGCGCACAGAUUUGUGCUGUGAAAAUGUUACACAGGCGCUCGAGAAGGGGACGAGCAAGGAGGGGAGCGUGGUUCCCCUUCCGUGUGGCAGAUUGUUGGUCUUUGCCCGAACAAUUGCUCCCAGAACUCAAGCAAAAAUUCUAAUGCCAUCUGGAACACACUUCGGAAUACCACGUUUUUCCAAGCUGGGCCCAACUGAUGGUUCAGAAACCGGGGGAAGACGGACGAUAGAGAAAAGGCACGACUGAGAGACGCUGAGAGAGGGGAGGGGAAGGAGGAAAGAAGGAAAACGGAAGGAGGAGGAGGAGGAGGAGAAGAGGAGGGGGGGCCUUUUCCAGCCUGUUAAAUGUUCCUCAGGCCCAGCCAAAGCGAAGGCAGGAGCUGCAUGCUGAUUUGCAUGCAGCGGACAUGCUAAUUGUGUGUUUUCUAACAUGCUCCAUUCAUUGGGACGAGGCUGCGCUCCGCAGACGGGCUUCACACACGCCUCCCAGACACCCUCGUGGCCUCCUAUUGUUGCUGAGGCCCAGCCAGCCGCUUUAACCCAGCCAGCAGAGUCUAUAGGCCUGGGCCCAGGCGCAGAGCAGAGCAGGGGGUUAGCCUGGAGCUCCGGGCUGCUGUGGAGAGAGAAGAGAGCAGGCAAACUCAGCCUGGACCCCCCUCUCUCCGGUGGAGCUGCUCCAUCCUCUCCGGCCCUCCACAACGAAGAAGAAGAGGCAGAAAACGAUUGGGCGAAAAGCUGAGAGGCCUGCCAAAAUCUCAACUCGUCAGCACACACUUUUACAACAUCAAGUGUUAAAUUUGUGUGGACUGAAUGCUCUCCUGCACACACUGAUUGCUGGAUUUUUGCAGCACUGCAGACACACGCUUCAACUGGCAGGGCACAGGUGGAGACUACAAGUGUUAAGACACAAUACAGAUGGAUUAUAUGAAAUUUGCAGCCUCAACAGGAGACAUUUGUUUGAUCAAGUUCCCUGCACCUCAGGUACUGUAUUUGUGGCUAAGUAAGGUUCGGUCAGAGCAAUUUAAACAUAAUUGUUUCAGUUUGUAAUUAAAUGUUCACAAUACUAUUCAAAAGUGUCAUCACUCUUGUUGUGACUCUGUACUCUGGUAAGAAGUCUCGUUUCCAGCCUGAACCGGACCGGCUGCUGCUCUGCAGUGCAUCACGCUGUCCU